AGCAGAAACAGCACCACAAGACUGCAGCUACGAUCAACAGAGAUCCAGCAGCAGCAGAAAUCAGCACGAUGUACAGUAAAGGUCAUAUGUUCCUGUUCUUUGUCUUUACGGCUGCAGUUGGCACGUCAGAUACCGGAACAAAUGAGAUCCCUUGUUGACCUGGCAACGAACCUGAUGAUAACUGGACGAAUCUUCUCUGACAAUAAAGGUUCUGUUGACAGUCAUCCGCAUUUUCUGGAUUUUCUGACAGAGCUGCAGAUAUGAACCACUCAAACUUUAACAUCCUCGCCUUCCUGUUCUGUCAGUCCAUAAAGCUGGUACCUUUCUGUUUCAUUGAGCUUGUCCUCCAAAUCCGUUAUCAGUUGCUUGUGGUCUUAACUUAUUGUUUUCAUAUUAGAGAUGUCUAACUUUACAUC